GUAGGUGGCAAGCGUUGUCCGGAAUUAUUGGGCGUAAAGCGCGCGCAGGCGGUUCUUUAAGUCUGAUGUGAAAGCCCACGGCUCAACCGUGGAGGGUCAUUGGAAACUGGAGAACUUGAGUACAGAAGAGGAAAGCGGAAUUCCACGUGUAGCGGUGAAAUGCGUAGAGAUGUGGAGGAACACCAGUGGCGAAGGUGGCUUUCUGGUCUGUAACUGACGCUGAGGCGCGAAAGCGUGGGGAGCAAACAGGGAUUAGAUACCCUGGUAGUCCACGCCGUAAACGAUGAGUGCUAAGUGUUAGGGGGUUUCCGCCCCCUUAGUGCUGCAGCUAACGCAUUAAGCACUCCGCCUGGGGAUACGGCCGCAAGGCUG
rnacentral:rRNA from 1 species